rnacentral:sRNA from 1 species
CAUUACCGAGUUUACAACUCCCAAACCCCUGUGAACAUACCUAUACGUUGCCUCGGCGGAUCAGCCCGCGCCCCGUAAAACGGGACGGCCCGCCCGAGGACCCCUAAACUCUGUUUUUAGUGGAACUUCUGAGUAAAACAAACAAAUAAAUCAAAACUUUCAACAACGGAUCUCUUGGUUCUGGCAUCGAUGAAGAACGCAGCAAAAUGCGAUAAGUAAUGUGAAUUGCAGAAUUCAGUGAAUCAUCGAAUCUUUGAACGCACAUUGCGCCCGCCAGUAUUCUGGCGGGCAUGCCUGUUCGAGCGUCAUUUCAACCCUCAAGCUCAGCUUGGUGUUGGGACUCGCGGUAACCCGCGUUCCCCAAAUCGAUUGGCGGUCACGUCGAGCUUCCAUAGCGUAGUAAUCAUACACCUCGUUACUGGUAAUCGUCGCGGCCACGCCGUUAAACCCCAACUUCUGAAUGUUGACCUCGGAUCAGGUAGGAAUACCCGCUGAACUUAAGCAUAUCAAUAAGCGGAGGAAAAGAAACCAACAGGGAUUGCCCUAGUAACGGCGAGUGAAGCGGCAACAGCUCAAAUUUGAAAUCUGGCUCUCGGGCCCGAGUUGUAAUUUGUAGAGGAUGCUUUUGAUGCGGUGCCUUCCGAGUUCCCUGGAACGGGACGCCAUAGAGGGUGAGAGCCCCGUCUGGUUGGAUGCCAAAUCUCUGUAAAGCUCCUUCGACGAGUCGAGUAGUUUGGGAAUGCUGCUCUAAAUGGGAGGUAUAUGUCUUCUAAAGCUAAAUACCGGCCAGAGACCGAUAGCGCACAAGUAGAGUGAUCGAAAGAUGAAAAGCACUUUGAAAAGAGAGUUAAAAAGUACGUGAAAUUGUUGAAAGGGAAGCGUUUAUGACCAGACUUGGGCUUGGUUAAUCAUCUGGGGUUCUCCCCAGUGCACUUUUCCAGUCCAGGCCAGCAUCAGUUUUCGCCGGGGGAUAAAGGCUUCGGGAAUGUGGCUCU